UACGGGGGGUGCGAGCGUUAAUCGGAAUUACUGGGCGUAAAGUGUGCGCAGGUGGCCGCGCAAGUCGGGUGUGAAAUCCCCGAGCUUAACUUGGGAAUUGCGCUCGAAACUACGUGGCUCGAGUGUGGCAGAGGAAGGUGGAAUUCCACGUGUAGCGGUGAAAUGCGUAGAGAUGUGGAGGAACACCGAUGGCGAAGGCAGCCUUCUGGGCCAACACUGACGCUCAUGCACGAAAGCGUGGGGAGCAAACAGG
rnacentral:rRNA from 1 species